GAAUGGGAGAGGGAGGCAGGGAUGAGGGCAAGAUUUCAUGCACUUUCAGAGCUUUGUGUAUUACUGGCUUAUGCAUGGCUUUUGCAGCUGCGCUGGCAGAGGACUUGUCCAGGAACCCUACCCAGAGGAGAGAUCUCAGAAGCGGACCUGAUCAGCCUGAACAUCCUUCUAAGCAGACAUGAACAGUCCUCAGCUUUUUCCCUCCUGUAUAACUGGCUUACCAAGGAAAAAGAAGUCAUUCGUCCGUCUACUGCCCUCAAACAAUGGAAAGCGAGCGAGAGCAACAAGACUGUGAGCGUUGUUGAUGCGAUGCAAAAGCCGUCCAUCUGGGAGCGGAACAGCCACUGCUGUCAGUUAGAUAAGUGUCUGGUUUGGUGAUUGCUCUGCUCACGGCCCACCUGGGUCCAGGUAGGGAUGCCCAAUUAGCUAGGGCUGGGUUUCUAAGAAAAGGUUUCUCAUUAGCUGUGGUUACUAGGGAGACAAGGUCCCCAUUUCAAGGGGUUACUCAUUAUUCUGUGUCCUCUGCAGCAGACGGUUGGAUCCAGGAGGAUGACACCAGGACACGGGCAGGCGUGUUAGGUGUGCAUCCUCCCAGGCUAUGUCUCGGGCACCAUGAAGAAGUAGGAGGGGAUGAAAAUCAUGCAGGGCUGUGGGUGUGAGAGUGGAGGCAGGUAUUGGAAGAUUUCGUGCACCUAUAGUGUUUUUGGCAGUGAUGGCUGUUCUAUGGGUUAUUUGCUGUUCUUGCAGAGGCCUGCUCCAGGCCAGUGGAGCAGCACCAGAUAGAGGAGGAGCAUCUGGAGGAAGUGGACCUGCUCAAUCUAGAUGUUUCACCUGGCAGUGGAGCUUAAGAGCCCUCUCGUGAUUUUGGAGGAGCAGGCCGUUUGCUUCCUUGCUGGGUACGGGGUUCUGUGGGAUUAAGGCUGGGGAAGGGACCAGAGUCACAGUUGCCAACUUUCACUGGGUAAAUAUGCACCCCGACUUUCAUAAUAAGCCAAAAAACAAGCUAAUCCCAUUUCAAAACAAGGCCAAAAAAAGCCAAUUCCUAAGAACCCCAACACUGUAUAUGACUAGAUCUCUCCUGUUGUGCAGUCUGGGACUGUGGUGGGCCUGCUGUGCACCCGAUGCUCUCCCCGCUUUGCCCCUCCUUGCCAGAAGCAACAAGCUACAACAAACAAUAAGCUACAAGCCAAACACAAGCCUAAUUUCAAAGUUUUUUUCCCCCACAGGCUAUAUCUCGGGUGCCAUGAAGAAGUAAGAGGGGAUGAAAAUCAUGCAGGGCAGUGGGUGCGAGAGUGGAGAGGUGGCUGUCGGUGUUUACGUGGUCUCUGUUCAUCAAGUGGGGCCUAUGUAGAUGGGAUGGAAGAGGGAGGCAGGGAUGAGACCAAGAUUUCAAGCACUAUUAGCGCUUUGUGUCGUGAUUGUUGAUACUUGGUUUUCGCAGCUGCUCUCAAAGAGAAAUUGUCCAGGAGCCCUAUCCCGAGGAGCAAGUGGACCCGAGCAGCUUGGACAUCCUUCUAAGCAGACAUGGCCGGUUUUGUUCAAUAUC